AUUGGGUUUGAUUCUUGCUUGUUUUAUUUAUUUUAUGUUUGUUUUAUAUGUAAGUUUUUGCGUGAGUGUUGUAUUUCUUUUGAUAGGAUUAUUUAUAAAUUUUUAUUAAUUCUCAUUAUUUUUUAUUGGUGUUUCAAGGUUUCUUGUAAUUAGCAAUUUAUUUUAGUUCCGGUUAAAUUUUGUGCCAGCAUCCGCGGUUAUACUUUAGGGGCUUAUGAAUAUGUUUGGAUUGUUGUAGUUAUAUUUAUUUACUUGUGUUGAUUUUAUUUGUAUGUGUUUUUGGGUGAAAUUUUUAUUUUAUUUAAUUUCUUUUAUGUGUUUGGAUUAAAAAGCCAUGAUCUAUGAGACUCUCGUGUUUAAACUAGGAUUAGAUACCCUAUUAUUUUGAGUGUUAAUUUAUGUUUUCUAGGUAGUAUUAGGUAUGUUCUUGAAACCUAAAGAAUUUGGCGGUAUUUUAUUCCAAUCAGAGGAAUCUGCCCCGUUAUCGAUAAUCCGCGUUGUACCUUACUUAGUUUAAAUUUGUUUGUAUACCGCCGUAUAUUGAUUAUCAUUUUAGUGUUUUAAUUUUCUUAAUUCUUGAUUAAGUUGUAUUUCAGGUCAAGGUGCAGUUUGUGGCUAAGUGUGAGGUGGAUUACAUUGAUUUUUUGUUAUGUUGGAUUACUUGUUGAAUAUUUAUGUAUGAAAUUGGAUUUGAUUGUAAUGUUUUAAUGAAGGUUGUUUUUAUGAUAAUUGGUUCUAGGAUAUGUACACAUCGCCCGUCGCUCUCGUUAUUUGUUAGUGAGAUAAGUCGUAACAAAGUGGUCGUACCGGAAGGUGUGGCUGGAUUGAU
rnacentral:ncRNA from 1 species